AAAUGAAUAGACGGGGGCCCGCACAAGCAGCGGAGCAUGUGGUUUAAUUCGAGGCAACGCGAAGAACCUUACCUAGACUUGACAUCUCCUGAAUUACCCUUAACCGGGGAAGCCCUUCGGGGCAGGAAGACAGGUGGUGCAUGGUUGUCGUCAGCUCGUGUCGUGAGAUGUUGGGUUAAGUCCCGCAACGAGCGCAACCCCUAUUGUCAGUUGCUACCAUUAAGUUGAGCACUCUGGCGAGACUGCCCGGGUUAACCGGGAGGAAGGUGGGGAUGACGUCAAAUCAUCAUGCCCCUUACGUCUAGGGCUACACACGUGCUACAAUGGCAGGUACAAAGAGACGCGAUCCCGCGAGGAGGAGCAAAUCUCAUAAAACCUGCCCCAGUUCAGAUUGCAGGCUGCAACUCGCCUGCAUGAAGUCGGAGUUGCUAGUAAUCGCGAAUCAGCAUGUCGCGGUGAAUACGUUCCCGGGCCUUGUACACACCGCCCGU
rnacentral:rRNA from 1 species